rnacentral:rRNA from 1 species
GAGGAAUAUUGGGCAAUGGGCGCAAGCCUGACCCAGCCAUGCCGCGUGCAGUAUGACGGCGCUAUGCGUUGUAAACUGCUUUUGUACAGGAAGAAACCCAUUUACGUGUAAGUGGUUGACGGUACUGUCAGAAUAAGCAUCGGCUAACUCCGUGCCAGCAGCCGCGGUAAUACGGAGGAUGCAAGCGUUAUCCGGAUUCAUUGGGUUUAAAGGGUGCGUAGGCGGAAUACUAAGUCAGUGGUGAAAUCCUGCAGCUUAACUGUAGAACUGUCAUUGAUACUGGUAUUCUUGAAUGCAGUUGAGGUAGGCGGAAUGUGUAAUGUAGCGGUGAAAUGCUUAGAUAUUACACAGAACACCGAUUGCGAAGGCAGCUUACUAAACUGUGAUUGACGCUGAGGCACGAAAGCGUGGGGAGCAAAC